rnacentral:lncRNA from 1 species
UUGCACCUAUCGAUGUUGAAAAUGAAGUUGGUGAACUAAUACAUGGUGGUGUUCGUCGUUUUGUUCGUAUGGCUGGUGAACGUUAUUUUAGGAUUCCAGAUCCUGUUUCACGAAUGGCUAGACUUGAUGAAGGUUUAAGAGAUAUCACCGUUAGACUUAUGCAUCUGGAUCCGCCACAGCAAUUUACUAACGGUACCAGACGUGAAAGA